GGUGUAGUGACUGUUUUCACCAGCGGAUGGCGCUGCGAGAUACACUGAUUUCUGGCUCUAGCACCAUUUAACCCUGAAGAACUGAUUUGAACCUGAACGACCUGAAGGAGAGCCGUCUGCUGUUGCUGUGGGUUAACCAAACAUGUCGGUUUCAAGCAGAUUCAAUUGUCAGCUUCAUCUCCAUGGCAACACAUUUUGGUCAGGAUCAAGAAAGGGCAUCUGAGUUCAUGAUUUUUACAGAUCACGGUUCGUAAUGUUCAGCCUCACCACCCCUGAAUGCACAGAUACUUUGGCAUGGCUGGGCAGAAAGCCCUAAAAAGACCAACAGCAAAGAGGGACACAGAAAAAGGCAUUAUUGUCUCGUUUUCCAGAGCUCGGCUCAUAGAAAACAAGGACGGCAGCCACUGGACACCUGGGAGCAGUAAUGAAAACUAUGAAAAGCAGCCAAGAGAUGCAGGUCAGGAGGCUGGUGGCUCUAAUGAGUAUCAGUGAUUACAUUAUACAGCACAGCUCAGCUGAGGGUGGUCCAGCUGUGGUGGGCAUUCAGAUUCAGCAGAGUCUUAAAGAAAGAG
rnacentral:lncRNA from 1 species